UACGUAGGGUGCGAGCGUUAAUCGGAAUUACUGGGCGUAAAGCGUGCGCAGGCGGUUUGUUAAGCCAGAUGUGAAAUCCCAGAGCUUAACUUUGGAACUGCAUUUUUAACUGCCGAGCUAGAGUAUGUCAGAGGGGGGUAGAAUUCCACGUGUAGCAGUGAAAUGCGUAGAGAUGGGGAGGAAUACCGAUGGCGAAGGCAGCCCCCUGGGAUAAUACUGACGCUCAUGCACGAAAGCGUGGGGAGCAAACAGG
rnacentral:rRNA from 1 species